UGCACUCACUACUGUAAGUCGCUCUGGAUAAGAACGUCUGUUAAAUGACUAAAA
rfam:Salmo salar isolate Sally breed double haploid chromosome ssa10, whole genome shotgun sequence.